UACAGAGGGGGCAAGCGUUGUUCGGAAUUACUGGGCGUAAAGGGCGCGUAGGCGGCUGGACAAGUCAAAGGUGAAAUCCCUCGGCUCAACUGAGGAACUGCCUUUGAAACUGUCCGGCUUGAGGCCGGGAGGGGGUAGCGGAAUUCCCAGUGUAGCGGUGAAAUGCGUAGAUAUUGGGAGGAACACCAGUGGCGAAGGCGGCUACCUGGACCGGUUCUGACGCUGAUGCGCGAAAGCGUGGGUAGCAAACAGG
rnacentral:rRNA from 1 species